AAUGAACGCUGGCGGCAUGCCUAACACAUGCAAGUCGAACGAAGGCUUCGGCCUUAGUGGCGCACGGGUGCGUAACGCGUGGGAAUCUGCCCUUGGGUUCGGAAUAACAGUUAGAAAUGACUGCUAAUACCGGAUGAUGUCGUGAGACCAAAGAUUUAUCGCCCAAGGAUGAGCCCGCGUAGGAUUAGCUAGUUGGUGGGUAAAGGCCCACCAAGGCGACGAUCCUUAGCUGGUCUGAGAGGAUGAUCAGCCACACUGGGACUGAGACACGGCCCAGACUCCUACGGGAGGCAGCAGUGGGGAAUAUUGGACAAUGGGCGAAAGCCUGAUCCAGCAAUGCCGCGUGAGUGAUGAAGGCCUUAGGGUUGUAAAGCUCUUUUACCCGGGAUGAUAAUGACAGUACCGGGAGAAUAAGCUCCGGCUAACUUCGUGCCAGCAGCCGCCGUAAGAC
rnacentral:rRNA from 1 species